UAAAUACUCCCUCUGUCCGAAAAUACUUGUCGUAAAAAUGCACGUAUAUAGACUUAUUUUAGUUAUAGCAUCUAUUUUAUUCAUUUUUAGAACAAGUAUUUCCGGACGGAUGGAGUAUAAA
rnacentral:pre_miRNA from 1 species